rnacentral:rRNA from 1 species
UAACACAUGCAAGUCGAACGGCAGCACAGUAUGUAGCAAUACAUAUGGGUGGCGAGUGGCGGACGGGUGAGUAACGCGUAGGAAUAUGCCUUCAGGUGGGGGACAACUCGGGGAAACCCGAGCUAAUACCGCAUAACAUCUAAGGAUCAAAGCGGGGGAUCUUCGGACCUCGCGCCGGAAGAGGAGCCUGCGUUAGAUUAGCUAGUUGGUGGGGUAAAGGCCUACCAAGGCGACGAUCUAUAGCUGGUCUGAGAGGACGAUCAGCCACACUGGAACUGAGACACGGUCCAGACUCCUACGGGAGGCAGCAGUGGGGAAUCUUGGGCAAUGGGCGAAAGCCUGACCCAGCCAUGCCGCGUGUGUGAAGAAGGCCUUCGGGUUGUAAAGCACUUUCAGUCGUAAAGAAACGCUUCAGGCCAAUACCUUGAAGCUUUGACGUUAGCGACAGAAGAAGCACCGGCUAACUCCGUGCCAGCAGCCGCGGUAAUACGGAGGGUGCAAACGUUAAUCGGAAUUACUGGGCGUAAAGCGCGCGUAGGCGGUUUGGUAAGUGGGAUGUGAAAGCCCCGGGCUUAACCUGGGAACUGCAUUCCAAACUGCCAGGCUAGAGUUUGGUAGAGGGAGGUGGAAUUUCCUGUGUAGCGGUGAAAUGCGUAGAUAUAGGAAGGAACACCAGUGGCGAAGGCGGCCUCCUGGACCAAAACUGACGCUGAGGUGCGAAAGCGUGGGGAGCAAACAGGAUUAGAUACCCUGGUAGUCCACGCCGUAAACUAUGAGAACUAGCCGUUGGAGCCCUUGAGGCUUUGGUGGCGAAGCUAACGCGAUAAGUUCUCCGCCUGGGGAGUACGGCCGCAAGGUUAAAACUCAAAUGAAUUGACGG